CCUACGGGGGGCUGCAGUGGGGAAUAUUGGACAAUGGGGGCAACCCUGAUCCAGCCAUGCCGCGUGUGUGAAGAAGGCCCUCGGGUUGUAAAGCACUUUCAGUGAGGAAGAACGCCUGGUGGUUAAUACCCAUCAGGAAAGACAUCACUCACAGAAGAAGCACCGGCUAACUCCGUGCCAGCAGCCGCGGUAAUACGGAGGGUGCGAGCGUUAAUCGGAAUUACUGGGCGUAAAGCGCGCGUAGGUGGCUUGAUAAGCCGGUUGUGUAAGCCCCGGGCUCAACCUGGGAACGGCAUCCGGAACUGUCAAGCUAGAGUGCAGGAGAGGAAGGUAGAAUUCCCGGUGUAGCGGUGAAAUGCGUAGAGAUCGGGAGGAAUACCAGUGGCGAAGGCGGCCUUCUGGACUGACACUGACACUGAGGUGCGAAAGCGUGGGUAGCAAACAGGAUUAGAUACCCUAGUAGUC
rnacentral:rRNA from 1 species